CCUGGCUUAGGAUGAACGCUAGCGACAGGCCUAACACAUGCAAGUCAGGGGCAGCACAAGGAGCAAUCUGAGGUGGCGACCGGCGCACGGGUGAGUAACACGUAUGCAACCUGCCUGUAAGCGGGGAAUAACCCGUUGAAAGACGGACUAAUACCGCAUAAUACUAAAUUACUGCAUGGUAAUUUAUUUAAACAUUUAUGGCUUACAGAUGGGCAUGCGCAUGAUUAGCUAGUUGGAGAGGUAACGGCUCCCCAAGGCAACGAUCAUUAGGGGUUCUGAGAGGAAGGUCCCCCACACUGGUACUGAGACACGGACCAGACUCCUACGGGAGGCAGCAGUGAGGAAUAUUGGUCAAUGGACGAGAGUCUGAACCAGCCAAGUCGCGUGCAGGAAGAAUGUCCCUAUGGAUUGUAAACUGCUUUUGCAGGGGAAUAAAGUGCAUCACGUGUGAUGUUUUGUAUGUACUCUGCGAAUAAGGAUCGGCUAACUCCGUGCCAGCCGCAGC
rnacentral:rRNA from 1 species